rnacentral:sRNA from 1 species
AGUAUUGACUGCCGAAGACAGCAGGUGCCGUAAGGCUUAAGGUGAAAACGCCUGCCGAGGAACGUACAAAUCAAACACAGAUUGAUUUUGUAGCCCUCUGUCUUUGUGACAGAGGGAUUUUUUU